rnacentral:sRNA from 1 species
UAUUUUAAAUUUAAAUUUAGCUUAUUGCAUUUCUUGUUUCGGAUUUCUAUUGUUGAAUAUUUGUUACUAUAGUAUAAUGCACUAAAGCAGGGGACCAGCAGAGUCUAGAGACAAAAUUAAACAAUGCGGAUCUCAAUUUUGUUUGUGUUGCUGUUGUUCAGUGUUGAUUUAAGCAUUUCCAGAAUCCGUCAGAUUCCACUCCCAGAUAAUCUUCUGGAGUGUAACAGCCGUCUGAAAGAUGUAAAUCCGUACAGCUUUAUUGGAAGUCUCUACAGCUGGUUGUGUGAAAACGCAAUUGUUGAUGCCUCUGGACUAAACGCUUCAAUAGGCGCUUAUAACAUAUCUCUCGAGGAGUUUUAUAAGAAAAUCUUCGAUGACCAUUCGACCAGACAACCUCGGCAAGCAC